GACGAACGCUGGCGGCGGGCCUAAUACAUGCAAGUCGAACGCUGAAGGAGGAGCUUGCUCUUCUGGAUGAGUUGCGAACGGGUGAGUAACGCGUAGGUAACCUGCCUGGUAGCGGGGGAUAACUUUUGGAAACGAUAGCUAAUACCGCAUAACAGUAGAUGUUGCAUGACAUUUGCUUAAAAGGUGCAAUUGCAUCACUACCAGAUGGACCUGCGUUGUAUUAGCUAGUUGGUGGGGUAACGGCUCACCAAGGCGACGAUACAUAGCCGACCUGCGAGGGUGCUCUGCCAAGCUGGGACUGGGACACGGCCCAGCCCCCUGCGAGAGGCAGCAGUCGGGGAUCUUCGGCGAUGGCCGGAAUUCUGACCGAGAGACGCCGCGUGCGUGAAGGAGGUUUUCGGGUCGUAAAACUCUGUUGUGAGAGAAGGACGAGAGGGAGAGUCGAAAGUUCACAUUGUGACGGUAUCUUAACAGAAAGGGACGGCUAACUACGUG
rnacentral:rRNA from 1 species